AGUGUCCAGACUAGCCAUGCACGUCUAAGUACAAACUAAAUGAUGGUGAAACUGCAAAUGGCUCAUUACAACGGUUAUGAUGUACCCGGGAGUUCCGAUGGAUAUUUCCAGUAACACUAGAACUAAUACAUGUCCCUGCGUUUAUUAGUUUCGCACAGUCCGUCGCUGAGUCAUGGUAAACAGUUGAUCGACUCGACGUCCCGGAACAGUUUCCGCCCCAUCAGCUUCGAUGGUUGGGUAUUGGCCUACCAUUGCAACAACGGGUAACGAGGAAUUAGGGUUUGAUUUCGGAGAGGGAGCCUGAGAAACGGCUACCACAUCUACGGAUGGCAGCAGGCGCGCAAAUUACCCAAUGCAGACACUGUGAGGUAGUGACGAGAAAUAAUAAAGCGGGACUUCUGUUUCGCUAUUAUAAUGAGGAAUAACCAAAGGUCAUUCCGAUUAGCAACUGAUGGGAAAGUCUGGUGCCAGCAGCCGCGGUAAUACCAGCGUCAGUAGCA
rnacentral:rRNA from 1 species